rnacentral:rRNA from 1 species
GGCCAGACUCCUACGGGAGGCAGCAGUGGGGAAUAUUGCACAAUGGGGGAAACCCUGAUGCAGCGACGCCGCGUGAGUGAAGAAGUAUUUCGGUAUGUAAAGCUCUAUCAGCAGGGAAGAAAAUGACGGUACCUGAUUAAGAAGCCCCGGCUAACUACGUGCCAGCAGCCGCGGUAAUACGUAGGGGGCAAGCGUUAUCCGGAUUUACUGGGUGUAAAGGGAGCGUAGACGGCAAUACAAGUCGGAAGUGAAAUACCCGGGCUCAACCUGGGAACUGCUUUGGAAACUGUAUGGCUGGAGUGCUGGAGAGGUAAGCGGAAUUCCUAGUGUAGCGGUGAAAUGCGUAGAUAUUAGGAGGAACACCAGUGGCGAAGGCGGCUUACUGGACAGUAACUGACGUUGAGGCUCGAAAGCGUGGGGAGCAAACAGGAUUAGAUACCCCCGUA